rnacentral:misc_RNA from 1 species
UAACCACUCAAGCUUUCGCUUGGUAUUGGGGUUCGCGGUUCCGCGGCCCCUAAAAUCAGUGGCGGUGCCUGUCGGCUCUACGCGUAGUAAUACUCCUCGCGAUUGAGUCUUAGGGUCUACUUGCCAGCAACCCCCAAUUUUUACA